CAAACGACGACGUCACUGAUCACGGGACCGACAGCUCAUUCAGUUCCUUCGCCCUGAUGCAGCUGGUUGUCUCGGCGUGAUGCUGCCGUCCCUCGCAAGAUGUUGGUGGCUUUGCUCACUUAUAUACAGGGGUCGGCGAUGUGCCUUCACUGCUGAAUGUGCGGCGUCCCGGUGAGCGUGACCAAGGAGUCCGGCGACCGCUCGCGGCCGACCGAUGACGCAGGACCCGCUCCGAUGGAACAAGAACGACCCGGCUGUCGAGGAGGAAUUUCACCGGUGAAAGUGGUUGACGUUGCGCCGAUGGUCUGAGGCAACGGCAGGCGACCAGCAAGGUACCGGCCUACGGCUCUCGGCGGAGCACCACGAGCGCCGACGUGCACGCGACUGGGGACUAUUACCGCUGCGGGGCCAAGAGCGGCGCCGAGGAACUAGGGACAUUCUUCGUGUGCGGGCAGGUUACUUGGACGCGACCGGAGGCAGGCU
rnacentral:lncRNA from 1 species